rnacentral:rRNA from 1 species
UACGGAGGAUGCAAGCGUUAUCCGGAUUUAUUGGGUUUAAAGGGUGCGCAGGCGGACUAAUAAGUCAGUGGUGAAAUUUACAUGCUUAACAUGUGACGUGCCAUUGAUACUGUUAGACUAGUAUACAAAUGACGUAGCUGGAAUGUGUUAUGUAGCGGUGAAAUGCAUAGAUAUAACACAGAACACCGAUCGUGAAGACAGGUUACGAAUUUGUGAUAGACGCUCAUGCACGAAAGCGUGGGGAUCAAACAGGAUUAGAUACCCUGGUAGUCCACGCUGUAAACGAUGAUAACUUGUUGUUGGGCACAUAGUGCUCAGUGGCUAAGCGAAAGCGAUAAGUUAUCCACCUGGGGAGUACGAUCGCAAGGUUGAAACUCAAAGGAAUUGACGGGGGCCCGCACAAGCGGAGGAGCAUGUGGUUUAAUUCGAUGAUACGCGAGGAACCUUACCCGGGCUCGAACGUAUGUUGAAUAAUGUGGAAACAUGUUAGUCGUAAGACAACAUACGAGGUGCUGCAUGGUU